rnacentral:rRNA from 1 species
AACGAACGCUGGCGGCGUGCUUAACACAUGCAAGUCGAACGUGAAAGUCCUUCGGGGCGAGUAGAGUGGCGCACGGGUGAGUAAUGCAUAGGAACGUACCGAUUGGUGGGGAACAACUGUGGGAAACUGCAGCUAAUACCGCAUGUGAUCUACGGAUGAAAGGGGGCCUCUUCUUGAAAGCUCUCGCCAAUCGAUCGGCCUAUGUCCCAUUAGCUAGUUGGUAGGUAAUGGCCUACCAAGGCGACGAUGGGUAGCUGGUCUGAGAGGAUGAUCAGCCACACUGGAACUGAGACACGGUCCAGACUCCUACGGGAGGCAGCAGUGGGGAAUCUUGCACAAUGGGGGAAACCCUGAUGCAGCAACGCCGCGUGAAUGAAGAAGGCUCUUGGGU